CCUCACACUAUACAAUGCAGAAAGGAUUGGCAUUACAAUGAAGAUAUGACAUUGGACAAUGUUUUUGUUUUACGCCUACUUCGAUAAUUUGUGCAUUGAAUAUGGACAUGGUUCAACCAGACCCUGGGAUUUGUACUGAGAUGGGAGUAGGGACCCCUUCUCAGCAGAGCCAGUACGGAAAUCCUUAUGCCAACACGUCAGACCAACAGUUCCACAGUGAUGAGGAUGGCCUGAACUACACUGCCCUGAAGUUCACUGACAAGAAGAGUACCAAGCCCAGGAGACAGAGGAGAAAACAGAGAGAGGAAGAAACCAUCUACUCUGGUGUGUCAGAUAGACAGGAUGUGGCAGUCCUCCAUUCAGUAUCACAGGCGGCCGGUGGCACUUUAAUUGGGGAAGGCGGGCUCAUAGUAAUGGCUAGAACUGAAUAAAUGGAAUGCUAUUGAACGCAUCAAACAUAUGGAUACCAUUGCAUUCACUCCAUUCCAGCCAUUGUUAUUAGCUGACCUCCCCUAAGCAGCCUCCUGUGAUCAGCAUAAUUCUAAGUUAAGCCCCACCCCUCCUCUGAAUUCCACUUUGAUCUUGACUGUGUCCGUGUGACCUGGCUAUUUUGUACACUUCCGGUUUGCUGCCAUUGCAGGGGCCUAGCUUCACCAUAAUUUUCCCCAAAGUAUGAAAGCUGAUACUAGGAUGGUUUCAGAAGUCUCAAAUCCUCACCAAUAGUGGCUGAGGUUGACUGACUGGAUACAUUUGGUUUUGUAGAAGUGUACCACAAAAUAUAUAUUUUGAUUUUCAAAUGUCUGAACUCUUCCUUUUCGUGAUAAUACUUGUAACAUGGAGCUCUGUAACCUGCCCUUAUACUUGUGUGAUAUUUCAAUAAACAUGUUUUUAUUUACUACUUUUAAUGACUUGCCUAAUUCUUAU
rnacentral:lncRNA from 1 species